CUUUUUAGGGUUGAAACGUCAUAUUUUAGACAAGUCUCCUAAUUUUUAGGGACUGAUGUCGUUUUUUAACGUGUCUCCUAUUUUUAGGGACC
rfam:Populus trichocarpa isolate Nisqually-1 chromosome 11, whole genome shotgun sequence.